rnacentral:rRNA from 1 species
GGAGUUUGAUCGUGGCUCAGGACGAACGCUGGCGGCGUGCUUAACACAUGCAAGUCGAACGGAGCACCCUUGACUGAGGUUUCGGCCAAAUGAUAGGAAUGCUUAGUGGCGGACUGGUGAGUAACGCGUGAGGAACCUGCCUUCCAGAGGGGGACAACAGUUGGAAACGACUGCUAAUACCGCAUGACACAUUCGGGCGGCAUCGCCUGGAUGUCAAAGAUUUUAUCGCUGGAAGAUGGCCUCGCGUCUGAUUAGAUAGUAGGCGGGUAACGGCCCACCUAGUCGACGAUCAGUAGCCGGACUGAGAGGUUGACCGGCCACAUUGGGACUGAGAUACGGCCCAGACUCCUACGGGAGCAGCAGUGGGGAAUAUUGGGCAAUGGGCGCAAGCCUGACCCAGCAACGCCGCGUGAAGGAAGAAGGC